UGCCGCUGUCAGAACUCAUUAAAUCGCACAUUAAUUAGAUGCAACUUGCUGUGUGUCAGUCACACCUAAUUAAAACU